GAUGAACGCUGGCGGCGUGCUUAACACAUGCAAGUCGAGCGAAGCGCUUAAGUUUGAUUCUUCGGAUGAAGACUUUUGUGACUGAGCGGCGACGGGUGAGUAACGCGUGGUAACCUGCCUCACACUGGGGGAUAACAGUCAGAAAUGACUGCUAAUACCGCAUAAGCGCACAGCAUCGCAUGAUGCAGUGUGAAAAACUCCGGUGGUGUGAGAUGGACCCGCGUUGGAUUAGCUAGUUGGCAGGGCAGCGGCCUACCAAGGCGACGAUCCAUAGCCGGCCUGAGAGGGUGAACGGCCACAUUGGGACUGAGACACGGCCCAG
rnacentral:rRNA from 1 species